CUUCAUCGCUCAUCUUUUGAUUUGGGCAUUUUUCUGAAUUUGAUAGUAAUCAUACAGAUAAGAAUGAAUUAUUUUGAUAAACAAGGACACAAUGACAUGUUGGAUAUACAUACAAAAAUGAACUAAUUAUAAAACUAAUUAGGGAUGCACAUUGACGAUGAAGCUACAGCUACAGUGUCCUGAUUAGGUGGAAAGCGGCAGCCAGCAAGAUUCUUUCUCUGCUAUGAGGUUUGCCUUUUGUUUUUCUGCACCCUGAAUCUCCCAAAUUAAGGAUGCUUUCACAUGAACACCCUUUGCCUUGAUUGAUCUCCAGGUGAACUUUGUAGCUACCAUAGAUGACUAUAAUUUGAUGUCUUCAACAUAUGUGCAGAAUAGGCUUCUUGCUCUUUUCUACCUCUAACUGCGAUCCAAACCACGCCACAAUCCGAACAGAUACCCGCCAACUGCACUAGAAGUUUAUGUGAUGAGAAUUGAGUUAAAUUGAGCAAGUAUAUAGAGAGAGAGACAGAGGAGAAGAAGAUAGUGCGGGACUCUGGUUUAUGGACGCUGGCCGGCUUCAGAGAAGAAAAAGCAGCAAACACAAGCGUUGGACCAAUUGUGG
rnacentral:misc_RNA from 1 species